rnacentral:tRNA from 1 species
CGUUAGGAAGCUAACCAGGGUCUAAGCAUUAGCCUUUUAAGCUAAGUUUGGUGACUCCCAACCACCCCUAACGA